GACCUGGUAGCACAACGGUCAGUGCGUCUGCCCAAUUUACAUCCGUCAAAUCGUGUAUAGGCAGAUGAUCCCUGUUCGAUUCGGGGUUAGGUCA